UACGAAGGGGGCUAGCGUUGCUCGGAAUUACUGGGCGUAAAGGGCGCGUAGGCGGAUAGUUUAGUCAGAGGUGAAAGCCCAGGGCUCAACCCUGGAAUUGCCUUUGAUACUGGCUAUCUUGAGUUCGGGAGAGGUGAGUGGAACUCCGAGUGUAGAGGUGAAAUUCGUAGAUAUUCGGAAGAACACCAGUGGCGAAGGCGACUCACUGGCCCGGUACUGACGCUGAGGCACGAAAGCGUGGGGAGCAAACAGG
rnacentral:rRNA from 1 species